rnacentral:rRNA from 1 species
CCUACGGGUGGCAGCAGUGAGGAAUAUUGGUCAAUGGGCGGGAGCCUGAACCAGCCAAGCCGCGUGAAGGAAGAAGGCGCCAAGCGUCGUAAACUUCUUUUGUCGGGGAACAAAGUGCGCCACGUGUGGCGUUGUGAGUGUACCCGAAGAAAAAGCAUCGGCUAACUCCGUGCCAGCAGCCGCGGUAAUACUGAGGAUGCGAGCGUAAUCCGGAUUUAUUUGGUUUAAAGGGGGCGUAGACGGUCCGGACAGUCAGCGGUAAAAUCCCGGGGAUCAACCCCGGCGAGCAGUUGAAACUGGCGAACUAGAGAGGGCGAGAAGUACGCGGAAUGCGCGGUGUAGCGGUGAAAUGCAUAGAUAUCGCGAAGAACUCCGAUUGCGAAGGCAGCGUACCGGCGCCGGACUGACGCUGAGGCACGAAAGCGUGGGUAUCGAACAGGAUUAGAUACCCCUGUAGUC